AGUGCAAGUGAUGGUGGAGCAUUAGAAGAAGGUAUAGAGUUUCCAGCGAUUGCAAGAAUUGUUCCCAUCCUUGGUGCUGGUGGUGUCGUUGAUAUUGAUACCCCAUCGACCAGUAAUUUUGGUCGAUCAUCAGCAUCAAAUACAAGGAUUGGCUUUCUUGGAGGAAGGGGCUUCGUUGCUUGCACAUUCCGUAGGUGGUCAAAUGGUAACGCCAAUGAGAACUUAUGAAAAUUGCAAAGACAAGUUAGAACAGAGAAAACACUCUGUUCAACUUUAUUUUUUAAUUGAAUCAAUAGAAAGUGUGGAUAUGCGACUUAUCUCUCUUCGUUUGUGUGUUUGAUAUUUUCUUUUUGAAAAUUUGAUAUGUAACCAACAUAGAUGCAUUUAGAAUCUUAGAGGUCAUCUCUUGGAUGAUGAAAGCUAUCCCUGCUGCUCCAUUG
rnacentral:misc_RNA from 1 species